rnacentral:tRNA from 1 species
GUUAGUGUGGCAGAAAUGGUUAUGCAGAAGACCUAAGCUCUUCAAACUGGGGUUCAAAUCCUCCCACUAACU